GUGAAAUUAUUUUAUAUAAAAUAAGAUAUCUCUUUCUCUUUUAAGUGUCCAAACAUCUCCUCAUCUAAGUUUAGGUUUCCUAAUCUGAUGGCAUUGGCUCUCAUCAUUCACAGAAACGAUGGAAAUUAAACCUGCCACAUCAAAAGGAGUGGAAUCCAACUUGGUCAUCUGCUGCUGUACAGCAUCUGCUUCGAGGUCCAUGGUGGCAUGCAUUCAGGGAUUUUUAUCUCAAAUAGCUGUUAUAGCUUUCCCUGUACUUCCUACUUGGAUGUCGCAAAGAAGAGGAACAAACUAUGACUAUAUCUUCAAGGAGUAACUGAUUCUGCCCCUUCCGGGCCAAGUUCCAUAAAGCCAGGAAUCCCCAGAAGGAGGCGUCUCACUUUGGUUUGAGCCUGAUUGGAUGACAGAGCUCCUAAAGUCAGAUCUACUCAACGGAGCAGCAUUUGUAGAAUACGAGAAGGCUAUAGCAUGUAUUUCUGUUGUUUAAUGCCACUGUGUAUUUGUUUUGUUUCCAGUUUGUUUGUUGAGUUAAAAAGGCUGGUGUUCCAACAUUUCUUUUGGAUCUGAUCCUUACUCCCAUUUUAUAUACAGUAUAUAUAAUAGUAUGUGCUUGAAUACACAUAGUGAAUGGGACCUGUAAGUAAUGCAUAGUGUGGCUUUGAGUCCUAAAUUUCUUUUUAUUAUUUUAUUUAGAGAAGUAUAGUUUUGCAACUGCUUCUUAAUUGUACAUACCUUUUAUGUUAUCUAUUACUGAUACUCUUUGUUCUACACUGUCUUUAAAACAUUGGCAGAAUAAAUGGAUUUGAAAUUGAAUUUGCACAGUUUACUGCCUAAUGCAUACCCUUGGCCUAUUUAUAAUCUGUGACUAAGAGUAUAGAGCCUUUCCACUAGGCUAGACUGGGAUUGUUACAUCUAUUUUUGAAUUCUUUACUUUCAGCCAUAUUAACAGUUCUGUCACAUACAAAAACUCCACGCAAUUAGGGUGCAUUCCUAAACAGUUCCUUAAAUCAUGUAGGCUGCACUAUACUGUAUAACCUUGGUAAAGAAUGUGUUACAUGUAAA